AGCUCUGCUUGUCCAGCUGACUACUGUUCGGAAAGAGUUUUUAGGGAAUUUUAUAUGAAAAACAACUUCAAAAUUAACCCAUCCUCUAUAAAGAUUUCAAAACUGAUCAUUAGUAACAUUUAGGAAAAAUUGACCUCUGCCUCUUGAUGAAGUAUCUUCUCAAGUCUUUUUUGCCCCAAAGUUAGGAUGUCCUAUCUAGUGAUUUGAUGGUCAUUUAUUUGUUUAUUUUUGAGUGCUCAGAAAUGUUCUUGUUAGUUUAGAGGGAGUGUAUGACUUGAAAAUUGGGGUAGAAGUUAUAACCGUGUGUUAAGUGGACCUAAAUUUGAGAAGUAAAUAUGGGAAAUGUUUAAAUAUCAAGUACCUACCAGGAAUGUGCUAUUUUUAGUGGAAGGUAAGGUAAGUAUUUAUUCUGAAUUUUUUUUUAUUGAUGAAACCCCUUUAAAAUGAACACUAUUCUCCACUUCCUUGCUACCUUGUGAAAUAUUGUGUUUAAUAUAUUUGCAAAUGAAGUGUGUAGGUCUUAGGGCUGUAGAUUUAGCUUAUUACUGAUCUAUAUAUCUGUUUAUUAAGCUCUUAUUCGACUAUAUGCUUCUCCUUUGUAGCAUGUAUCACAGUAAUAGUCACACAAUUAAUUGUGUAACUAUUUAAUAUUUAUUUUCCCCUCUAGAAUGUAAACUUCAUGAGAAUGGGGCCUCUGUUUUCUUACUCAGCACAGUACCCUUAGUACCUGGCACAGUGCCUUACAUGUAGCAGGUAAUUAGUAGUUGUUAAAUGAGUGAGUGACUCCCCAGACUAUUAAGUAUACAUGUUGCAUGCCAUCCUGACUCCCUAAUCCCGCUGCCAUUGUCCCUAUCAAUUCUUCCUCUAUCAUCUCUAAUUUUUCUCUUGCCUUUCAUUCUGUCCUUUUUCACUCCCUUUUUGACUUCAUAGGUGACUGUCCCUAAUGCUGACUUGCACUUCUGUUGUCUGUUCACCUUGUCUUCUCGCUGCUUCUCUUAUGUCUUUGCUGUUUAGUGGCCUUCCCCCUUCCCUAGAGUUAGGUCAGACUUUACAGGUUAAGGGCGUAGUCCUGCGCAGCACUGCCCUCACCUCAGUCACCAGCUGCAAUUUCCAGGGUCCUCAGGCCACCCAUACUUCUGACUAACUGGAGACAAAUUCCCACUAUCCUCUCAGGUUUGAUAAUUUGCUAGAACGACUGACAGAACUCAAGAAAGCACUGUACUUAUGAUUACAGGGUUUUGUUUGUUUGUUUGUUUGUUUAUCAAGGAUGCAAUCAGGACCAGCCAAAUGAAGAGACACAUAGGGCAAGGUCUGGGAGGGUCCCACAUGCAAAGCUUCCCUGUCCUCAGGGUGCUCACCCUUAAGCACAUCAGAGUGUAUCACUAAUGAGGGUGCUCGCUGGAGCUCUGACUGUCUAGAGUUUUUAUUGGGGUUUCGUUACAUAGUAAUGUUUGUUUGAAUCAUUUGCUCUGUGACUGAACUCAAUUUCGCCUUCUCUUUCUGCCCCAGGUUGGGAGGUCAGGCUGAUAGCCCAGGCUCAAAGCCUCAACCCUUUAAUGACAUGGUUCGUAUUUUCCAUGUGGCCAGCCCCCAUCCUUAAGUUGUGUAGGGGCCCACCAUGAGUCAUCUUGUUGAUGACUCAGGUGAGGUCUGAGGGGCCCAGCUCCCUUCUGGACACCACGGACAAAGUCUAGCCAGAUUAUUAUACAACAACAUCCUUCUCAACUUUUGCUUGGAAAGAUUCGCCUCUUAUAUUUAUUACUAGCCUGUCAACACUAUUCUCCUCUUGUGAUGUGAGCCAACUAAAUCAUAGUAUGUUAACCAUAGAUAACAAUCUUUAGCGUUUUUAGUAAUAUUCCUUGUUGCUGUGUCCUGAGAAACACUCUAUUUAUUUGUCUAGUCAGUCAGUCAGAUCUUUGAAACUAAACAUUUCUGGAAAGAUAGGAUAUUUGGACAUCUAAAGUUUUCUUGGACCGUAUUUUACCAUAGUAAGUUGCUAGGUAGGUUAAAAAAGACCGAAAUAAUUCUUUAGACCAUAAUCACUAAUAUUUGGGCCUUAGUGAAUCCUCAAAUCAUUUUGUCUAAGAAAGUUAAAUAAAAAAUAUACAGUAUACUCUCAGGAUAUGGUCUUUAAAUUUUUACAUUGAUUAACGGUUACGAUUCCGUGUUCAUUGCUAUCUGUCCUCUGAAAUGUCCUCUUGGCUAUUCUUAUUACAUAGUUAGAAGAAAAAUCUGUAGAAAAGACCAUCUUGUCGAAUAAUGAUCAUUGUACAAAUGCUGGUACUGGAUUGCUUUUUCCCCACAGUGGUGCUCGUAUACACUUCAGUUGUUCAAUGAUAGAGUAAAUGUUCUGUAAACAGUAAAACGUUAUAGAUAAGUAUAUCAGUUGUCUAUUGCUCUGUCACAUACCCCUUCAAACUUAGUGGUUUAAAACAACCGCUGUUUAUUUAGCUCACUAUUUUGCAGGAUGGCAGUUUGGGCUAAGCUCAGCUAGGUGAGGUUUUCAUCUGUGCUAGGAUCAGCUGAUCAUGGGUAGGGUGACUUACGCAUCUGUGGUCAGCAGGUAGAUUGGUUGGGGCUGGCUGGUUCACAGGGGGCUCAGCUGGGAUGACGGGAGUCUCUCCAUGUGGCUGCUCAAGUGCUUGCUCGUAUAGUGGUAGCAGAGUUCUAAUACCAGCAAAAGGGCAAGCCCCAGUGUAAAACUCUUUUCAAGUCUUUGCAUCAUGUUUGCUGCUGUUUCAGUGGCCGAAGAAAGUCAGGAGCUGGCACACAUUUAGUAAGUGGAUAAAUAAACCCUGCCUCUUGAUGGAGAACAACUAAGUCCUAUUGUAAAUGAUGGUGUAUGUAGGGAGGGAGAAUAAUUUACAGCCAUGUUUGCUGUCUGCCACAGUGAGUCUAAAUGUCUAGAAGAGAUGAAAAAGUCUUUUUGGUUUUUGCAAUAAAGUGAAGAUAUUACUACAUGAAUCAUGUUUAAUUUUAUGUACUCAAGUCAUUACUGUGUCAAAAUUUACAUGCAGUCGGGUAUGAAGUUUUUCAGUCAAUCCCAGACCUGUAGAACUUGCAAUCUGUGUUUUGUUUUAAAAAAUUUGAUUCUGUAGUGUACUUAAAAAAAGUAACUGAAAGAGUCAUUAUUGGUAAGAAAGACAUAGAAAAAUCUACAAACUGUAUAAAUUUUUAUUAUGAAUAGAAUUAAGAGCUCAACCUUUCCAUUCUUAAUUUAAAAGUUUGGAAUUAUCUUUACCUUUACAUAUGUAAAUUAUUUAUACAUUGUCAAAUUACAGAAAUACCUUUCCAGUUUUAAAAUAAAUGUUAUAUUGUUAUACUUUUCUUGUUUUUAUUUAGUUUUUGUAGAUGUUACAUUCUGAUGUUUUGGUCAGCUGUUGUAAUCCAGGUUUCACGCUUCAAGUCUUCAGAUAAUAUCAUUUUAUUGAGAAUUUGGCAGAGGGAUUUUCUUGUUUUCUUGGUGGCUCAGCUAAAAUCAUAUUUUUUGAACACGAAGUGAGGGUCAUAUUGAUUGGGAGAUCACUAAAGAAGGGUAAGCCUCAGCAAGAGUCCUCCAAAAAAUGGACUGUGCUAAAAUUGCAUGUAAUACUCCAGCAUUUGACACAUUAAACUAAACUGAGUUCAUAACACAUUUUAAGAAUAGUUUUCUCUGUUGCUCGUUUGACCAUUCCUUGCUCCUCCAGGAAACAGACAAGGUUAUGUAGGAUGGUGAUCACGACUGGAAAAGAAUCAGGUGACCCAUGAAAUGCCAGACUGGAGAACAAAAUGUGCCCUAGGAUGGCUGGUGAAGCUGCACAUUCACAGGAAACUAAACGAACUCAGUACAGUUCGAUAAGUCACUAACAACAAACAGUGUGUUAUACCUUGAAGAAAAUAUUCUUAAACUAAGAAUAUCUUUCUCACUAACAUUCAGAGACUAGAAAUCUGUAGUCAAGAGGAUUUAGAUCCUCCUAACCCCUGGGUUCCCUGGGAAGCAGACACUAAAAUGGAAUUAAGCAUGCAAAAGAUUUAUUAGAGAGAAACGCCAAUAAGGGGGAAAGGGAGGAAGCAGGACUGGAGCCGGGGAGCUGCUGCAGACUGUGGCGCAGAUCUGACAAGUCUCUGCGAGGCCCUGGGGAAAGAACCCCCUGUGGAGGAGUCCUGCGAUGAACGAUGAAGAUGAACGGAAAUAACUAGGACUUUUCCCCUGCCUUGUCUGGUCUUGGGGUCAUCCAGGAGCGUGCCCCUGGCUUCCACCACCCUGCCUAAGUCCCAGCGGCUGGGGCAGCUGAGAUGGUACGACUUUGGCUUGAAAGCUGAAACGGACCCUGAAAUCACCAGCUGGAGGCAGACAGUCACGUCCCCCUUGGCUGGGGGGCUGGUUCUCUCUGGAAGGGGUAUCUGCAAGUCAAGAUCUCUGCUGCCUUUCCUAGAGAAACUGUAGCUUGGGAUCAGUAAUAAUUGAUGAGAGGAAAUUUCUCUUUAUAGAAGAAUUCAAGCUAGGAAGAAUCAUAGAAUCGGAAUAUUGUAAUGUUGCGAUCUCUGAUAGAAUAACAAAUUUGGGCAGUGGUUAUCAAUGGCUGUUAACAUCACAAAAAGAAGACUGCUGGGAAUUAUAUUUCCUGGUGGAGUAUACAAACUGCCUAUGAGGCGGUCUUAUCAAAAAGUCAAGUUUGCAUCCAAGUAAGUCUCUAGAUCUAUUAAUUUACCAGAAAUACAGGGGACAGAGGUGCAUGUUAAAUGACAACACAGGAAGGUAGCUAGCAGAAUUCAGACUGUGAGAGCUCUUAAGACCAACAUGUAAUUGCAAGGGAAAAAAUAUAUGGAGAAGGAAACAGAAUAAGAGAAACUUUAGAGAUGUAUCAACCAGUUCCAACGUAUGAACCUUAUUUAGAUCCUACUUCUAAUAAACUUUAAAAGAAUUGUGAGACCAUCAGAGAAAUUUGGUCACUGACUAGGUACGUGGGGACAUUAAGGAAUUAAAUAUUAACUUUAGUUGUGAUAUAUAAGAGUCCUAAGAGAUACAUACUGAUGAAAUACAGUGACUGGAAUUUGCCUCAAAAUAAUCUGUGGAGGGGGCACUGGGUGUGGUGCGGAUGAGACAGUGUUGGCCAUGAGUUGAUAAUUAUUGAGGACAGAUGAUGAGUACCUGGGGAUUUUUGUUACACUGUUUCCACUUUUAUAUAUAUUUAAGUUCUCUGUAAAGUUUAAAAAUAAUGUAUAGUUGGUAUGGAGGAACUAAAAAUGCCAAUUUAAAAGGUAUUUUCGUUUCAAUAUAAAAUAAAACUUUCUUAGAUAUUAUUAGAUGCAGGAAUCACACAGAUGAACAUGAACAUGUCAGCUUAACAGAGUGAUAACUGGCAAAAAGCUGGAUUAAAGGGUGUGGCUUCAAUAUAUGACCACAGUGGGUUUCCUGAUCCUGCACCCUGAGUUAGGGACAGUUAUUCACUGAAUCGCUGGCCCAGCUGGACACCUGCGAGCCUCCCACUCAGUUGUAGGCUUACCUCAAAAAUAAGAGCAAACCAAGAUGCUUGCUCUCUGUGAACAGACAGAUCCUCAGAGGAAACCCAGGAGGGUCUGAACUGCGCCUGCUCAGUUCGUUCUCUCAAACUCGCUUCUUAGAUCAGCGGGGCAGAGAGGCCAGGGAUGUCUCUCUAGUAGAAGUUCCUUCACAGAAAGGAAACGCGCGCGAAGGGGAUUGGAGGUUUCCCCUGAUAGAAGUCACAGGGAUUUUUUGGUAUCUAGUACUUGUGAACUUGGUGAGUAGUUUAGUUUUCUAUUUGUGAUUUGGGGGAGGGGAGAAUUUAUUGAAGGUUUCUACCUUUGCAAAUGACCGUGGGAGCUGUGGAAUCUUCCCACCUUCAUACUGUUUGUGAGCUGAAAAAGGACCUUAGGUAUUCAGAUAUUAGAGUUGUGUUAAUAUAUACAUUUUUCUUAAGGAAAAAUAAUUUUACUAUUCCUGUAGCUCCAAUGAAAGAAUCAGUGACGUCAGCGUCGAUGACUCCUGAGAAUGCUCUGAGGUUCCCUUCAGUUUCUCUCAAAGUCUCUAUCUACCUACUUCUCUAAUUUUCUUCAAGUAGUUCUAGCAUACGAGAUAAGUAAACAUCUAUUCUAAAUGAAAAAUUUGUUGUUUUCCUACUUUGUCUGUUUCUGGUGUUGUAUUAUUCAACUUUACUUUAUUGUAAAAAAUAUAUGCUAUUUUAGUUGCACCGUGUAUUAGAAAGUUCUUGUGGAUUAGGUGGGAAUUAGUAAACCUAGGGAUUUUUUUGUGUUGCCGGAACAAUGUUCUAUUUUUAUUUUUCCAUUGCUUUCUGGUUAUGUAGAUAUUGAAUACAGGGAGGUUUAUGGGCCUUAAUUUUUACUAUGUUCUCUAAGGUUAUAUUUGAAUCUGUAGCAACUUUGACUUAAUUGAAAUAAAUUCACAUGAGUAAGAACUAUUAAAUAAGCAUGUAGGUAAUGGACAUAGCACUUACUUGUGAAACUAUUUUGUUUUAUAUCUUUGUGAAACUUUGCUGUACUUUCAGCUCACAGUUGACAGGAAUGAGAGUACUUUCUCUGAGAUGUUCAAAGGGAAGUAGUCUAAAGGGAGUGAUUUCUAUAAAUUGAAAUGAGUGUAAGUGAGAAUUCUCAGUGAGUUCAAGAUCUGGACCCACCAGCAUCACUUAGUAAUGUAGACUGAGCUCUUCAAGGGCAAGAAGGAUCUUGUUGAUCUUUACUCUCAAGAGCAAGCAUAUAAAUAUAAAAGUUAGUGCUUAAUAUAUAGUUAGUGCUUAAUAAAUAUUUCUUGGAUUAAUGCAUGAGUGAAUGAAUCAUCAACUCUCACAAUAAAUGUAGUUCUUAUAAUUAGGGGAGGAGAAGGUGGAACAUUCUAGAAGCUCUGCUAUAGGUCUUCAUUAAACCUUGUUAACCUUUUUUUCAUGCUUAUAGUUUUUAUUAGUCAUUCAAUUGUAUAGUCUCAACAAGUAUUUUUAAAGACUUGGUUUCAAGUUAAGAAGACUUCAAGGUUAUGCAUAGGAAUGGGAUAGGAAUAUGAAAAAGAUAAAAGAAAUUAAUUUUUGUGUGGUGGGAUUCUGGGUUUUAAUUUUUCGAAUUUCUAUUUUGUUAUGACAUAUUGAUACAUUAAUAAUAAAAGGAAAAAGUGAGGUUACAUUAAUAUUAAUUAUUAUUAACUAUUAACAAAUCUAUUUUACAGAGCCCUUGAGACACUUAAAUGUUUGCUUAUUCGUUCCUUUAGUCAUUGAAAAAGCAUUUCUUUAGUGCUUUGAACCUGCCAGAGAUAAUCAGAGAUUUCUUGGUCUAGAAAGCUCCCUAUUAUGAAGAUCAAUUAAUAUGGCAAUUGCUAUACUUCAUUGAUUCUAAGAAGCCUAUUUUUACAUCUCUAAAAUUUGGAUACAUCAUGUAAUUGAUGGUGUCCUUCAGUUAUAAUUGGCAGCAUUUCCCCCAAUAGUACAUAAUAGAAUGUCUUGGAAUUGAUGAUGUCUUAGAUUUGGUGAAAUACGGUACAUUGCUAAACAAUCACUAAAUUUUAAGGUCUUGAGGAAAGAACCACAUGUAAUUGAUCUUAGCAUUUCCCCAACACCUGGUAUGAAAUCUCACUAAAUACAUUUUGUGCUAAUGAGUAAAAAAGCAUUUCUUCUAAAACCUUAUCUUUAGACUUGAAUCUUUGGAUUCUAUUAAUUUUGAGUGUUUAAAAAAAUUAUUGUAUGUAUAUAAUUUUAUGGUAGUAUAGCCACUGUUCUUCCUUCCAUUGAAUAGCUUAAACCUUAUUGGCAUUUUAAUUACUCCUUUUUUAUACUUCAUUACUUCUUUUAAGCAAUUGCCGUGUAUCUUACUAUUAGGAAUUCUUGGGUUGAAUUUUCAUUUCUGAUUUGGAGAUGGCUACAGUGUGUGCUUGACAUCAGGAUAAACUGAUUUAGUUUAGGGUAAAUUGAUAGAGUGCAGCUAGUUUUCUGUUAUCCACCCUAGUAGAAUGGAUAACUGUAAUUUGUGAAUGAUCUCCCAAUCCUUUGUUAGUUAUUUUAUGAGAGGUGCUAAUAUGUAGCAAAGCUAUACUGAUUUGCAUUUUAAAGCUUCGCGUUUCCUAUUUAGAGGAGGUAGUAAUGAAUACUGAAAUGACAGAAAAAAAAAAAGGGCAGCAAUAGAAGAUAGAAGAGAAUUGAAAGGCAUUAAUAAUCCACCAAGUGCGUAAUUGACCUCUGAGUAAUAAAAAACUGGCUGUGAUUUCAUGCAUUACUGUUGAGCAUUGUUUAGAUUUAACUUUUGUUCGCUACUGAUUGAAUUAAAGUUUGAGGUGAAAUGCUCUAUAUCUCAUUUCUAAACUCAAUCGUCUCAUCAUCUCUCAUUGUGAACUCAUGAGAUUCAGACAUGAUAAAACAAUAAUGAGAAGUUAAAAAUCAGGGUUAGAAAAAAGUCUGUAUUUUAAACCUGCAGUCUUCUAAAAGGGAGAAAAGCAAUUAUAAGAGUUUCAAGAAUCAAUAGAAAUUGAUGUUUUAUACCAAAGAAAACUUAAGACCUUGAGUCCUGCCCUCCCCACCAUCACUAUACAAAUAAAAAGAAAUCAAUAGGCCCAGAAACGUAGCUAUUAAAGAUUUACGCCCAGCAACUACUUUUGAUACUCAAAGCAUUGUUUACUAUUCCAAUUCAGAAAAUGUAUGUAACUAAGCAUAAUAAAUGAUAUUUUUAAUUUAAAAAUGAUUUUCUUUUUAAUCUCCAGAAAUAUUUCAUUUUGCAAAAAGAAUAAAUGUUAGACCUGGAUUUUAAACAACUCUGAUUUCUAGCUUGUUACCUAACAAAUUUUAAAGGUCAUUUCUGUUGAAAAGAUAUGUAGUUCUAUAUUAAAAACUUAUUAACAGA